rnacentral:rRNA from 1 species
CAGAGGGUGCGAGCGUUAAUCGGAAUUACUGGGCGUAAAGCGCGCGUAGGCGGCUUUGCAAGUCGGGUGCGAAAUCCCCAGGCUCAACCUGGGAACUGCAUUCGAGACUGCAUUGCUAGAGUAUGGGAGAGGGAAGUGGGAUUUCCGGUGUAGCGGUGAAAUGCGUAGAUAUCGGAAGGAACAUCAGUGGCGAAAGCGACUUCCUGGACCAAUACUGACGCUCAUGUGCGAAAGCGUGGGGAGCAAACAGGAUUAGAUACCCUGGUAGUCCACGCCAUAAACGAUGAGAACUGGAUGUCGGGAGGGUCUGCCUCUCGGUGUCGUAGCUAACGCGUUAAGUCCUCCGCCUGGGGAGUACGGCCGCAAGGUUG